rnacentral:rRNA from 1 species
GGAAGCCUCGUACUUAUAUAACAAUCUGCCUUAGGCAGGUAACACUCGUCUGUUGCUGGAAGCAAAUCUCCUGCGGGAGUUAAUCAGCUGUCAUAGGACUGUUCCUUGUGACCCACAGAUCAAACACGAGUGGCCUAUUGCUGCCGUUGUGAGACGGCGGACGGUUGAGAUAUGACCGAUAGCAGCUCUGUCAGGAGUUUGAUAACUAGUUCCGUAGGUGAACCUGCGGAAGGAUCAUUA